GAAAAUAAUAUAUAUAUAAUAAAUUUUUGUAAAUUUUCAGCUCCACAUUGGCCAUGUAUUAAAAGGUGGGCUCACACAAUUGGUUAUUCGAUUGUUGAGGCACAACAGAAAGAAAGGGAAGUUGAGACAGUCACAGCCCUUGCUUCCCUCUCUGUUGCAGUAUCACAAGGUCAUUUGCAGAGGACUUCCGAAGAGGAAACUGAAGAGCCGAUGGAUGAAGAUCAAGAAAAGUGAAUUAUUCAAAUGAUCAUUCUUUUCAUUCGGGAAAUGUCGCACAAAACAUCUUUCUGAUUAAUAUGAUUAUGUUAUCAUUAACAUUAAUCAUCCCAUUUUUGAUGUUCUUUCAUUCCUGUAAUUUGAACAUAUAAAUUGUACUGUGAAAAUUGCCAUCCAAAAUGUCCAUUGAGUUGGAACAAAAUGAUAAAAGCGUAUCGUUUUAAACAAAAAAAAUAUUUAAACGGUCCUUCGUUUGUUCAUUCCCAAACGGCGCUUUAAAGGUCGUGUACAUGUUUUAUUUCUUUAUAUAUUAAAAGCAGUAUAUAUUGUAUAUAUAGUCGUUGCAUCGAAAAACAUCUGGUCAAAACCGCUUCAAAGAUAUCUGCCGAUUGAGACCGUGCAGGUAUUUUCAUUUGUUAUUGGCUUCACUCCAUUCCUCAUGCCAAUAAAACAUCGGAGAGAAAGAUCUCUGGCUAAAGCAGCCUUGUGUUACUGUCAGAAUACACAAUUUCCUAAAAAUCAAGACGGGGG